CACAGCAAAGCCAAACUAGCCAGUGUUGUAAACUAAAACUAUUAAAAAUAGUUUGUGUUUACAAACAAAAAUCUUAAAAAGUGGAAAAUGAAUGAAUGCUGAAUGCUUUCAAUUUACCUUGUUCUGAUAAAAAUAUAAUAAAUAAAAAAAUCUUGUGUACAAGAAAUGCAUAUUUCUGAAAAUACUUUAUUUUUAUACCAUGUUGUUACUUUUGUUCACAUGUAUGUAAUAAUUUUGUAUCUUUAAUUACACAGAUUAUUAAACUCUAUAAUCUUCAAGCAAGAUGGACAGCAAGAUUAAAGUGUGUUUUCUCGUCGCAGUGGAACUGGAACUAGGUGCAGUUCAAAGUCUUUCUUCCAAUAGAUAUGUGCACUUCUGCAUAACAGCUGAUAACACACUAUUUCUC
ensembl:lncRNA